UUUUAGCAAGGAAGAAGCGAAAGUGACGGUACUUGCAGAAAAAGCGCCGGCUAACUACGUGCCAGCAGCCGCGGUAAUACGUAGGGCGCAAGCGUUAUCCGGAAUUAUUGGGCGUAAAGAGCUCGUAGGCGGUUUGUCGCGUCUGCUGUGAAAUCCCGAGGCUCAACCUCGGGCCUGCAGUGGGUACGGGCAGACUAGAGUGCGGUAGGGGAGAUUGGAAUUCCUGGUGUAGCGGUGGAAUGCGCAGAUAUCAGGAGGAACACCGAUGGCGAAGGCAGAUCUCUGGGCCGUAACUGACGCUGAGGAGCGAAAGGGUGGGGAGCAAACAGGCUUAGAUACCCUGGUAGUCCACCCCGUAAACGUUGGGAACUAGUUGUGGGGUCCUUUCCACGGAUUCCGUGACGCAGCUAACGCAUUAAGUUCCCCGCCUGGGGAGUACGGCCGCAAGGCUAAAACUCAAAGGAAUUGACGGGGACCCGCACAAGCGGCGGAGCAUGCGGAUUAAUUCGAUGCAACGCGAAGAACCUUACCAAGGCUUGACAUACACGAGAACACCCUAGAAAUAGGGGACUCUUUGGACACUCGUGAACAGGUGGUGCAUGGUUGUCGUCAGCUCGUGUCGUGAGAUGUUGGGUUAAGUCCCGCAACGAGCGCAACCCUCGUUCUAUGUUGCCAGCACGUAAUGGUGGGAACUCAUGGGAUACUGCCGGGGUCAACUCGGAGGAAGGUGGGGAUGACGUCAAAUCAUCAUGCCCCUUAUGUCUUGGGCUUCACGCAUGCUACAAUGGCCGGUACAAAGGGCUGCAAUACCGUGAGGUGGAGCGAAUCCCAAAAAGCCGGUCCCAGUUCGGAUUGAGGUCUGCAACUCGACCUCAUGAAGUCGGAGUCGCUAGUAAUCGCAGAUCAGCAACGCUGCGGUGAAUACGUUCCCGGGUCUUGUACACACCGCCCGUCAAGUCAUGAAAGUCGGUAACACCUGAAGCCGGUGGCCCAACCCUUGUGGAGGGAGCCGUCGAAG
rnacentral:rRNA from 1 species